GAUUAACGCUGGCGGCGUGCAUAACACAUGCAAGUCGAACGAUGAAACUUAACUGAUUUCUUCGGUAUGAUUUUAAGUGGAUUAGUGGCGGACGGGUGAGUAACGCGUGAGUACCCUGCCUUGGAGAAGGGGUUAGCCUUUGGAAACGAAUAAUAAUACCCUAUGAUAUGAUAAUAUCUCAUGAUAUUAUCAUAAAAGAUUUAUCGCUCUAAGAUGGACUUGCGUCUGAUUAGUUAGUUGGUGAGGUAACAGCUCACCAAGGAAGCGAUCAGUAGCCGGCUUGAGAGAGUGGAAGGCCACAUUGGGACUGGGACACGACCCAGACGCCUACGGGAGGCAGCAGUGGGGAAUUGUGCACAAUGAGGGAAACCCUGAUGCAGCGACGCCGCGUGAUUAAGAAGGCCUUCGGGUUGUAAAAAGCUUUUGUAUGGGAAGAAAAUGAAAGUACCAUACGAAUAAGGACCGGCUAAUUACGUG
rnacentral:rRNA from 1 species